UCACUUUAGCAGUACAUACACUAAAAUUGGAACCUUACAUAGAAGAUUAACUGGCCCUUGCGGAAGGAUGGCAUGCGAAUUUGUGAAGUGCUCCAUAAUUUU